AACCGUCACAUACCCAACAAACAUUAGACCAUUGAUUUGGACAGCGGUGGGCUACCAUUUACUAAACGGACACACGCCGUUCAAUAACCCGAAAGUACACUGGAAGAAGGCGGCGAUUAUGGGAACCUGGGAUCAACUCAAGACUUCGCUUCGCUAUUGGCAUUUCAAAUGGGAGUUAUAUAGCCAGUUAUACAUCUUGGACAAGGAAGAAAAGUCAUGGUUCUAUCUAAUUUUAUUUGCCAUAGUGGCCCUAUUCCUGUGGGGUUCAAUCAACUACCUUCCUCCAUACAUCACAGCGAUAGGGAACGCGCAGUAUGUAUUCCGGACAGACGCAGAAGUUACGCACAACGAAAUGUGAAGACAUUGAAUGGGUAGUGCAUACUGAUGCUGUAUACGUAAUGGAUGGGAGGCUAAGGGAACUCUCCGAAAAACCUGUCGAAGAAUGAGCUGUAUAUUCUACAAAGGGCGGAUGGUUUAGAACUAUAAAUCUGUCGAAUGAAGAAAUACUUAAGUUUCUCUACAAAGGGCGGAUGGUCUCGAACUGUUAAUCUGUCGAAUGAAGAAAUACUUACUCUACAAAGGGCGGAUGGUCUCGAACUGUAAAUCUGUCGAAUGAAGAAAUACUUACUCUACAAAGGACAGAUGGUCACAAACUAUAAAUCUGUUGAAGAAAGAACUACAUAUUCUAUAAAUGGCGGAUUGGUAGGACUUUAAGAAUUAAGUAUGCUACAAAGGACAGAGUGUUUCAAACUACAUCACAGUCUGGG